UUUUUUUUUUUUUUUUUCGCUAUGGAUAAGAAUGAGGAUACACAAAUUGAUUUUUUAAACAAGAAGAAAAUGUGGGCACAAUGAAAUGUCACCAAAUAAACAAAGAAAAUUCCUGCAGUGGGUGGAAGGCUGAACCAGGUGCCCUUCAAGUAUCCUGCCAACAUAUCUCUUUGCAGAGCUGACUGUUCUGACUCUGGGACCCGCCCGAGCCCUAGGAUUUCCGGGAGAAGCUUUGCUUCAAGAUUCCUAGUUAGUAUCUUCACUUCCAUCCUGCCUCUUCAAGGCACUGGGACUGAAUGUCCCCUUCCAUGCCACCUGGGAACCUUUGGGUUGUGACAAGAAAGAAAAGAUUUCUCUUUGUGAAAUCCAGCAAGAUCUGGUCCAGCAAGAUGCACACAGUCACACUGAAAGCGCUCGCCACUGGCAGCUAAGAGAUCCAGCUGGCCAUUAUCCAGCAGGCCAUCUUGCCUAUAGACAUUUGUCAAUCUCCUGAGCUUGGGGAAUGCCCCAGGAGCCUGACACCUGCUACUGAAGCUGAAAAUGCCUAGUCCUUCUUUCCCCGGCCUCCCUCACGUGUAGGGCAAGACCAAUGAGCUGAGGUUCCCCUCAUCAGUCCCACCCAUGCCUGACUUUGAGCCUGAGGCAGUAAUACAAAGUAGCACAAAUCCUGAGAAACCCACUCCAGAGAGGAUGGGUAAGAGCAGCAGCAGGAGUGAUGAUGGGCUCGGAGAGGCAGUGGUUCUCUUGCAGCCUCCUGACCCAGCAUCAGCGGUGUAGGCGAUGAUGGACAUGCCCAGUGGUUAGAAGCAAUGUCAUCAGACCACUUCAGCAGCAUCUGCGACAUGUUCCUGGAUGCGGAGCCUCCAAACCUAGUUUCCCCCUCCUCAUAGAGAUGCUGAGCUAAUGCAUUCUGCUUAUUUUUUUUUUAGGGCCACACCUACGGCAUAUGAAAGUUCCCAGGCUGGGGGUCAAAUCAGAGCUACAGCUGCCAGCCUACACCACAGCCACAGCAACGUGGGAUCUGAGCCUCCUCUGCAACCUACACCACAGCUCACAGCAACACUGGAUCCUUAAUCCACUGAGUGAGGCCAGGGAUUGAGUACCCAUCCUCAUGGAUCCUAGUGACGUGCGGUGGGCUGAGCCACAAUGGGAACUCCUCAAUCUAUUCCUAAAAAAUAUUUUUUCACCUUAGCCAGGGGUGAUUUCUGUUGCUUGCAAACAAGACCUCUGAUGGAUAUAAGAUUCUGUACAAAAAUCCUGCACUGGUACUCGGAAAUUAUAAUACUGCAUCUCUUGGGUUGGGUUUUAUGUGUUUUUGCCUUUAUAAAUUUUAACUUUGUGUUGCAAUCAAAAAUAUACAAAAGAAAAAUGCACAUUUCAUGACAGUACAGCUCAUUGAAUUUUCACAAACAUACCCAUGUAACCAUUACUUCACAUCAAGAAACAGGAUCAUCAUUACCAUGACUCCCCAAAGCCAUUCUUAUCACCACCAUCAACCGAGGACAACCAGUAUCCUGACUUCUAACACCACAGGUUAGCACUGCCUGUUUCUGUAAAUACACAGAUGCAGUGCAUCGUCUUUCUCUGGUCUGUGCAUUACCUCUGUUUAUCUUUUAUUCAACAUUAUGCUCUGAAGAUUCAUCUGUACUCUCUGCAGCUGUUGCUCAUCUAUUUUGAGGGCUGUAUAGUAUUCCAGUGGAUGAAUAUAUCACAUAUAUCACAUAUAUAUCACAUAGUCAUUGUGAGUAUUCCAGUUGAUUUAUUCAUUCCAUUGCUGCCAAGCACUUGGGUGCUUUCUAAUUUGGGGCUAUUUCAAAAAGGCCUUCUGUGAGCAUUCUAGUACACAUCUUUUGGUGAAAUGUGAACAGACUUUUGUUGCAUAGCUAGCCAUGUUCAUAAUGCACAUAUACAUUCAACUUUAGUAGCUGCUGCUCAACAAUUUUCCCAAAUGGUCAUAUCCAUUAGAAUGAUUUUUAAUUUAAUUUCCAGAACAAUUGUUGCUCCAAAGAUAUAAGACAAUGGGGAAAAAUGAGAAAAGGAGAACCACGUAGGGAAAAAUUCAUAUGGGGACAUUUUCCCCUUCUUAAAUGAUUCCACAGCAGAUGUAUUAAGAAGCCCUGGUAUUCAGCACUUUGCCACUGGCUUGACCUGGGUUAAAUGAUUGCUGACAGGUCACCGUGAAAGUCAAGGGCACAGCUGGAACAAGACUUCUGAACUCUUGGCCUUUUGACCCAGCAGCAGAGACUCACACAUUCUUGCAGGCACCACUGGCCCCAGGAAACCAGCAGCCAAGUCUCCACAACAUCACCGCUUUGCCCAGCGUGAGAGGAGAAGGCUAGCAUUUGGACUGGGACCCCGGGCCCGAACACCUGCAGGGCCAGCAGGGACUUAAAUCUGGCCAAGAGGGCUGGGCAUGAUGGGGAUCCGGUCAGGACGGGUGGGGAUUCGAAUACACUGAGAACGAGCGCUCCGUCUUAAGGGGACAUCUAUUACUCAGCUCACAGAUUUUUGCUGCAUGGGAAAGAAGAGCCCACUGUUGCCAGAUUUUCUGACUCUUCAAGAGAAGCUGGAAAACUGGAUUUCUAAAUGAGAUACGGCAAUUGGCAAAAUAGGCAACUAAAUUGAAGAAACCCAUUAAAAAAUGAAAUCAUGCCAUUUGCAGCAACAUGAAGGGACCCAGAAAUUAUCAUACUAGGCAAAGUAAGUCAGAGAAAGACAAGCAUCAUACAUCACUUAUAUGUGGAAUCUAAAAUAUGACACGAAUGAACUUAUCUAUGAAACAGAAGCAGACUCCAGACAUAGAGAACAAAUUUAUGGUUACCAAGGUGAGGGGGAGGGAUGGGGGAGGGGCAAAUUAGGAAUUGGGGAUUAACAACAUACACUACUAUAUAUAAAAGAGAUAAACAACAAGGACCUACUGUAGAGCAUAGGGAACUAUAUUCAAGAUUGUAUAAUAAAUAUAAUGGAAAAGCAUCUGAAAAAGAAUAGAAACAUACAUAUAUCUGCAUAGCAAAAUGACUGUUAUACAUACACACUUUGCUACAUACAUGAAACAUUGUAAAUCAAUUAUACAUCGAUUAAAAAAUAAAUGAAUAAAAAUAAAAACAAUGAACACUGUCAGCCCAAUAACACACACCUAUGGAUCAGAUCUGGCCCAUGAACCACCGGGGAGGCAUCUCUGAUUGAGAUGGACUGGGCACUACACACUCACAAGAAGAGGCUUUUUGUGGCUGCACAGAGCAGAUCUCAGUGAAAAGAACUGACUGUGAGCUGCGGCGAGCAGGGACAAGGAUCAAAUUCUUGUCGUGGGCUCCCUCUUUAUGGAUGGAGGACCCCUUUUUGUUACCCCGAUUAAGUCAACAUUGAACUUCAAACCCUUAAUGUCAUGAAGACCUCGGCUAAGUCCCCUCACCCCUGAAGGACAAGAGCUCUUUCUGGCGGCUCCUAUACAUCCAGCAGUGACCUGUCAGGUCAUCAGCUGGGGGUCGCUGCCUCAGCCCCCAGCCCUCACUUCACUUGGCAGAAUCCAUUUGAAGUGAAGCUCAACUUAAAAAAACAAUUUAUCCACCGAAGAAGUCAUCACUAAGACGACGCGCUCACAUCUGACCUCCUUUCCAAUCAGCCCCAUCUCCAGAAGUGAAUUUUCGACACUGCACCUCCCCAACGUGGCUGCAAUCGCCUUCAGGAGAGCGGGUCACUUGACUCUUUUCUUUUUUUCAGCUAUUUGGCACAACUACCAUCUGCCUCUCCCUCGUUCCCUCUCCAUGACUGUCCUCAGAAAACACAUCUUGCACACGUACACACACGCACACAUGUACACACACAUAGCCCCAUACAGCAAUUCCAAGAGGGAACAGCUGGGAACAAUCUAGCAACCAGUAUGAACAGAAAGAGAGGUGCACUUAGUCUCUCCCGGCCUCACCACCCGCUCUCUAGUUCCAAGUUAGGCCAGGCACACAGGGGACACUCAACAAUCAGCCACCCAGUGUCCUUCUGCUCCCAAAACGAGCUUGCAACAUCCCACAUGCGCAAUUAAUAAAGAAGCCAAUGGCCAUGUGGGGAUGACACGAGUGCUUACCAAGGAUGUGUAGUCUCGCCACACCCUGUGGGUAGGUUGAAACCAAUGAGAAGCCAUCCCCCCCCUCUCUCUGCAAGUUGAAACAAUUGAGUUGUCUUUCUUGCCAAUGUCUCUUACUCAAUCUUGGAUCCAAAGGGGGUGGUGGAGAAGGAGGCCGGGAGGGGGGACCCGGACGGUGCUCGGCCUCCACCAUCAGGCCCGGCUGUUAGAACGGUCCUGGGGACCCAGGACCCAGAGGAGAGGCCAGCACCGGCUUGGCGAGGCAGACGAAGAAACAGUGAAGGGUGACCUGCGGGGGGCAGCGCCCUCAGAGGUGAUCCCAAAGGGAAUGGAAGGCAAGGUCCCAGCUGCGGGGAGUUUUCUGAUUCGCUUCCACGCGCCGUCUCCCUCCUCAAUCGUCUUCUUAGAAGCAGGAUUGCCCGUCCCCUGCAGGCAUCGCACGUUGCUUAUUUACAAUCACUGUUACGAAGAAGAGGCCAGACGCAGCGGGGUGAGCCCCGAUAGCCCGCGGCUGGGCAGGAAGAAAAGUCUGAGUCCCAAGUCCAAGAAUAUCAUCAAAUCCUUAUGAAGCAUCCGUUGUUGUAAUUUUCAAACGCUGGUUUGAAGAGCCUGUCUGAGAUUAUCCAGGGCUGUGGGCAGAGCCAACGCCACACCCACUGUGGGCUUUAUGCUUCCUUUUCAAAAGUGGUUUUCUUCUUUAAAAAAAAAAAAAAAAAAAAGCUCUUACACGUUAGUCUCCAUUGAACACGGAGCAUCCGUUCGAUCUGCAGACAUAGACCAGCACUGUCUACUGCAGGGAGAGGCCAGAAAAAUCCAAUGAGAUGAUGACCCUGGCUUUGAAGGAAUUUAUACCUCGGCUGGGGGAGAUCCAAUUUACCCACCAGAGUUCAAAGGCUUCGGUCUCUUCAGAUCGUGUGCCCCUGUAAACAUAACACAUCCACAAGCUCCCCCUCCUCGAGGGGGCAUUCUGUACCUGGCAUCAUGCCCAGGACCUUCAAGGCAGAGGUUCUCCUCCCCACAACCACCUCGGAGGUGGACACGAUUUCACUCCCAUUACACAAAGGGGCACAGGGAGCUUCCGGGAUCAGCCACAGCUGGGCCAUGCAGGUGACAGGUGACACUGCGCCUCCUGCCCUCGGGUCUCUUCCAGUAUUUACCACUUUCAUCCUGGAAGUCCAGCUGCUUCUAUUCACCUUCUUUCCCAAAUGGACAGAGCACCCCAAGGCAGGCACCAGGUCGUUGCCUGCAAACUGCCCUCAGCCUUCGGCUUAGCACCGUGGCAUAAGUAGGCCCUUCUUAGACAAUGCUUAUGGAGACCCUUAGAUGAUGCUUAUUGAAUGUGUGAAUUAAAAAACCUUACAAGGGAGUUCCCGUCGUGGUGUAGUGGUUAAUGAAUCCGACCAGGAACCAUGAGGUUGCAGGUUUGAUCCCUGGCCCUGCUCAGUGGGUUAAGGAUCCGGCGUUGCCAUGAGCUGUGGUGUAGGUUGCAGACGCGGCUCGGAUCCCUCGCUGCUGUGGCUCUGGUGUAGGCCAGUGGCUACAGCUCUGAUUAGACCCCUAGCCUGGGAACCUCCAUAUGCUGCGGGAGUGGCCAUAGAAAAGGCAAAAAGACCAAACAAACAAACAAAAAAACCUUACUAGAGGGAAAAGACAACUCUACCCUUUCUUCAGAUACUUUCUGAGUUUCUAUUAUGUGUCUCUCAUUCUGCUGGACGUGGGCACCCAGCUGAGCCGUAGAGCCCAGGUCUCAGGGACUUGGUCUGGUGAUGAGAAGGUCCUAGAGUCAUAGGAAUGAGCUGUGCUUACCCAAAUUCCCAAGGAGCCCCCUGUGCUCCCUGUACCAGGAAUCGGAUGGAGACACAGUCCUUGCCCCGGAGGUGGUUCUCAUUAAGGAGGGAAAACGGGUCCACAAGAGCAGGAUUGGAAAACAGAAUCAGAAAGCUCUGAUUUUCUAGGAGAAAAGAAGCUUCCUGAGGCCCCCAGAGGUCACCCCAGAGGUCAGCUGGCUCAGGCAGGCAUCCUUCCAUGAGCAUCCUUCCUCCUGCCCUUGCAUCCUACACUGUAUCGAAGCAGAGGCAACACACACAACAAGAAGUGACACGUGUCACCACCACACACCCACCAGCAUGACCAAACUGGUAAGAAGUGACAGCACCAAGUGCUAAGCUGGAGCAACUGGAAUGCUCCGACACUGCUGGCGAGAGCCUGAAAGGAGGCAGGCACUCUGGGGCAAGGUCUGGUGGCUUCUUACAAAAGGAAACAGAUACCUACUCUGUGACCCGGCAAUUCCACUCUUAGUUAUUUACCCAAGAGAAAUGAAAAUGUGUGUCCACAGGACGUUUUGUUCAGGAAUGUUCAAGGCACCUUCAUUCCAAACAGCCAAACACUGGAAAGAAGGCAGGUACCCAUCAAGGGCAAAAUGGAUAAACAAACUGAACAGUCAGCUGAUGGAGCAGCGUUCAGCAGCAAAGAGGCACAAACACCGACACAGGAAACAACGUGGAUGAAUCCCAAAGAUAUCGUGGUGAGUAGGAGGUACAUGACGCAAGACACACCGCCUGACUCCGCUUAUGUGAUGUCCCCCUGCGAGUUGGCAAAACUAGUCAGUAAAAAGAACCAGAGUUGUUGCUACUGGGAGCAUACGGGAUGGGAUGGCAGAGGCCACGGAGAACGUGCUGGGGUGCUGGUCUGUAUCUACGCGCGACCUCAGAGCCGUGCAGCACAGUGCUUGCAACUUUUACCUUAAAACAAAACCCCCCAAACCCUGCUGCCACAUAUCGAAUUCUAGGUAAUGAUUACACACGCUGUAGUAUUGGGAAGGAAGCAUCCUUGUGCAUGGAACUUCCUUUCAACAGGUCAAAGAAAACGGGACAGAAAGACGUCUGGAAAUGAGGCUGGACGUGUGAUGAAGCCAGUCCCACAAAAGUCAAUGAUAGACGGACCCAGUGGGAAUAUGGAAGCUUGGUGUAAAAUUCUCCCCAUGUUUACGCAUCCUGGAAACUUCCCACAGUAAAACUGCGGGGAGGGGGCGGGGGCCUUCCCAACAGCUGUAUGUGAAAAGAACACUGAUGUGGUGGGUUUUCCAGGGUGUAUGGAUUUAGGAGGCUGGGAGCGCUGAAAGGAAGGCGGUGCGGGUGCUGGGUUUAAAGCACCCAACGCAGAGAUUCACGUGGGGCCUGGGUGAAGACCAAAGUCCGAGCAGCCUGGGUCUGCAGUCAGUCACUCCGCCCAAGAUGCAAUUUCCUGGUCCCCGGAUCCAGCGCCUCUUGGACUUGAACUACCUCUCACUAAAUAGCAUUUUGGUGAGUUAAGUGUAAAUGAAUCAGAAACAAACGGAUUAAGUUUCUGGGCGCACAGAGAAA
rnacentral:lncRNA from 1 species